GAUAAACGCUGGCGGCGUGCCUAACACAUGCAAGUCGAACGUCCUCUCUUUUCGCAAGGAGAGAGAGGGAGUGGCGGACGGGUGAGUAACACAUGGGUACCUGCCUUCAGGUGAGGAAUACCCGCGGGAAACCGCGGACAAGACCGCAUAGCCUCUCCUUCGCAAAAAGAAGGAGAGGAAAGCCCCCCAAGGGCGCCUGG
rnacentral:rRNA from 1 species